rnacentral:rRNA from 1 species
CAGGACGAACGCUGGCGGCGUGCUUAACACAUGCAAGUCGAGCGGUAAGGCCUUUCGGGGUACACGAGCGGCGAACGGGUGAGUAACACGUGGGUGAUCUGCCCUGCACUCUGGGAUAAGCCCGGGAAACUGGGUCUAAUACCGGAUAUGACUGUCCCAUGCAUGUGGGGUGGUGGAAAGAUUUAUCGGUGCAGGAUGGGCCCGCGGCCUAUCAGCUUGUUGGUGGGGUAAUGGCCUACCAAGGCGACGACGGGUAGCCGACCUGAGAGGGUGACCGGCCACACUGGGACUGAGACACGGCCCAGACUCCUACGGGAGGCAGCAGUGGGGAAUAUUGCACAAUGGGCGGAAGCCUGAUGCAGCGACGCCGCGUGAGGGAUGAAGGCCUUCGGGUUGUAAACCUCUUUCAGCAGGGACGAAGCGUGAGUGACGGUACCUGCAGAAGAAGCACCGGCUAACUACGUGCCAGCAGCCGCGGUAAUACGUAGGGUGCGAGCGUUGUCCGGAAUUACUGGGCGUAAAGAGUUCGUAGGCGGUUUGUCGCGUCGUUUGUGAAAACCCGGGGCUCAACUUCGGGCUUGCAGGCGAUACGGGCAGACUUGAGUGUUUCAGGGGAGACUGGAAUUCCUGGUGUAGCGGUGAAAUGCGCAGAUAUCAGGAGGAACACCGGUGGCGAAGGCGGGUCUCUGGGAAACAACUGACGCUGA